rnacentral:rRNA from 1 species
ACGCUCGACACCUACGAGAGGCAGCAGUGGGGAAUAUUGCACAAUGGGGGAAACCCUGAUGCAGCAACGCCGCGUGAAGGAAGACGGUUUUCGGAUUGUAAACUUCUGUUCUUAGUGAAGAUAGUGACGGUAGCUAAGGAGCAAGCCACGGCUAACUACGCGCCAGCAGCCGCGGUAAUCUGAGCGGGCUGGCAAGGC